ACGAAUAUCUAUGGCGUUGGUUGUAGCUGGCUCCUAGGAGCAUUGUGCACGCCCGUCAUUCAUAUCAUUCUUUCCACCUGUGAACCAUGUGUAGGCCUGGAUACCCCUCGCUUUGGCAACAAAGCGGAUGCAAGGAUUGCUGCGUCGACAAGGCCAGCUCUCUUUGAAUUUCCAGGUUCUAUGUCUUUUUACACACUCCAUUUGAAUGAUUUAGAAUGUAGUCAAUGGGCUUUCAUGCCUAUAAAAAACUAUA
rnacentral:misc_RNA from 1 species